rnacentral:rRNA from 1 species
AUUGAACGCUGGCGGCAUGCUUUACACAUGCAAGUCGAACGGUAACAGGCCUUCGGGCGCUGACGAGUGGCGAACGGGUGAGUAAUGCAUCGGAACGUGCCCAGUCGUGGGGGAUAACUAUCCGAAAGGAUAGCUAAUACCGCAUACGAUCUGCGGAUGAAAGCGGGGGACCUUCGGGCCUCGCGCGAUUGGAGCGGCCGAUGUCAGAUUAGGUAGGUGGUGGGGUAAAGGCUCACCAAGCCAACGAUCUGUAGCUGGUCUGAGAGGACGAACAGCCACACUGGGACUGAGACACGGCCCAGACUCCUACGGGAGGCAGCAGUGGGGAAUUUUGGACAAUGGGCGCAAGCCUGAUCCAGCAAUGCCGCGUGCAGGAAGAAGGCCUUCGGGUUGUAAACUGCUUUUGUACGGAACGAAACGGUCUGGGUUAAUACCCUGGGCUAAUGACGGUACCGUAAGAAUAAGCACCGGCUAACUACGUGCCAGCCGCCGCCUAACAC